GAUGAACGCUGGCGGCGUGCCUAAUACAUGCAAGUCGAGCGAACAGACGAGGAGUUUGCUCCUCUGACGUUUUCGGCGGACGUGUGAGUCACACGUGUAUACCCUCUCUUUAAGACUGGGAUCACUUCGGGAAACCGGAUCUAACACCGGAUUAUUUAUUGAUCCGUGUGGUUCUAUUGUAAUCUCCGUUUUUGCUGUUACUUAUUGAUCGUUCCUCGUCGCAUUUGCUAGUUGGUAAGGCAACGGCUUACCAAGGCAACGCUGCGUAGCCGACCUAGGAGGGGGAUCGGCCACACUGGAACUGAGACACGGUCCAGACUCCUACGGGAGGCAGCAGUAGGGAAUCUUCCGAAAUGGGCGAAAGCCUGACGGAGAAAGGCCGCGUGAGUGAUGAAGGUCUUCGGAUGGAAAAACUCUGUUAAUAGGGAGGAACAGAUGUGUAGGUAAAAAUGCACGUCUUGACGGUACCUAAUCAGAAAGCGACGGCUAACUACGUG
rnacentral:rRNA from 1 species